rnacentral:rRNA from 1 species
UGGGGAAUAUUGGGCAAUGGGCGAAAGCCUGACCCAGCGACGCCGCGUGGGUGAUGAAGGCCUUCGGGUUGUAAAGUCCUGUCAUGCGGAAAGAACGACCCUGUGACGCAUACUCACAGGGAGUGACGGUACCGCAGGAGGAAGCACCGGCUAACUCCGUGCCAGCAGCCGCGGUAAUACGGAGGGUGCAAGCGUUGUUCGGAAUUAUUGGGCGUAAAGGGCGCGUAGGCGGUAAUGUAAGUCAGAUGUGAAAUACUCCGGCUCAACCAGAGAACAGCAUCUGAAACUGCAUAACUAGAGUACAGAAGAGGGAAACGGAAUUCCCGGUGUAGAGGUGAAAUUCGUAGAUAUCGGGAGGAACACCAGUGGCGAAGGCGGUUUCCUGGUCUGAUACUGACGCUGAGGCGCGAAAGCGUGGGGAGCAAACAG